rnacentral:tRNA from 1 species
AGUAAGGUAAGCUAAAUAAAGCUAUCGGGCCCAUACCCCGAAAAUGUCGGAUAACACCUUCCCCUACUA